GCUAAUACCGCAUACGUCCUGAGGGAGAAAGUGGGGGAUCUUCGGACCUCACGCUAUCAGAUGAGCCUAGGUCGGAUUAGCUAGUUGGUGGGGUAAAGGCCUACCAAGGCGACGAUCCGUAACUGGUCUGAGAGGAUGAUCAGUCACACUGGAACUGAGACACGGUCCAGACUCCUACGGGAGGCAGCAGUGGGGAAUAUUGGACAAUGGGCGAAAGCCUGAUCCAGCCAUGCCCGUGUGUUGAAGAAGGUCUUCGGAUUGUUAAAGCACUUUAAGUUG
rnacentral:rRNA from 1 species